rnacentral:rRNA from 14 species
CCCCGGUAAACGGCGGCCGUAACUAUAACGGUCCUAAGGUAGCGAAAUUCCUUGUCGGGUAAGUUCCGACCUGCACGAAUGGCGUAAUGAUGGCCAGGCUGUCUCCACCCGAGACUCAGUGAAAUUGAACUCGCUGUGAAGAUGCAGUGUACCCGCGGCAAGACGGAAAGACCCCGUGAACCUUUACUAUAGCUUGACACUGAACAUUGAGCCUUGAUGUGUAGGAUAGGUGGGAGGCUUUGAAGUGUGGACGCCAGUCUGCAUGGAGCCGACCUUGAAAUACCACCCUUUAAUGUUUGAUGUUCUAACGUGGACCCGUAAUCCGGGUUGCGGACAGUGUCUGGUGGGUAGUUUGACUGGGGCGGUCUCCUCCUAAAGAGUAACGGAGGAGCACGAAGGUUGGCUAAUCCUGGUCGGACAUCAGGAGGUUAGUGCAAUGGCAUAAGCCAGCUUGACUGCGAGCGUGACGGCGCGAGCAGGUGCGAAAGCAGGUCAUAGUGAUCCGGUGGUUCUGAAUGGAAGGGCCAUCGCUCAACGGAUAAAAGGUACUCCGGGGAUAACAGGCUGAUACCGCCCAAGAGUUCAUAUCGACGGCGGUGUUUGGCACCUCGAUGUCGGCUCAUCACAUCCUGGGGCUGAAGUAGGUCCCAAGGGUAUGGCUGUUCGCCAUUUAAAGUGGUACGCGAGCUGGGUUUAGAACGUCGUGAGACAGUUCGGUCCCUAUCUGCCGUGGGCGCUGGAGAACUGAGGGGGGCUGCUCCUAGUACGAGAGGACCGGAGUGGACGCAUCACUGGUGUUCGGGUUGUCAUGCCAAUGGCACUGCCCGGUAGCUAAAUGCGGAAGAGAUAAGUGCUGAAAGCAUCUAAGCACGAAACUUGCCCCGAGAUGAGUUCUCCCUGAGACUUAGAGUCUCCUGAAGGAACGUUGAAGACGACGACGUUGAUAGGCCGGGUGUGUAAGCGCAGCGAUGCGUUGAGCUAACCGGUACUAAUGAACCGUGAGGCUUAACCUUACAACGCCGAAG